AUACAUUUAAACAUCCAUGACUCGGAAACAAACAUCCAUAUUCAUCAUAUAAAUGCUUGCACCUACCGGGAUUCGAACCCGGGACCUCUAGCUUAGUAGGUAGGAUCGCUAACCACUCGGCUAUACAGGUCGUCGUAAUAUCACGGCUUUGACUAUAUACCUACGACAUAUUAUAUAUAAUGAUUUCUUUUAUGUUAAGUUGAAUCAAUAUGUGUGUAGUUCCCCUAUUUGGAGGAUUUCAAGGAACCUUGAGCGGGGUCGCUGACUGCUGACGUCACUACACUGCACUCAUUCAUUACAUUGGUGAGAGCGGAAUAUGAAUAGGCCACAAAUAGUUAAAGUCAAAGUCAAAAUAUUUUAUUUACAUAAAAUCAAAAGCCUGCUCGUCAACGUCAAUCACAAAAAAUACAUAUUAAUUACAUAAAAGUUUAAACAUAUUUUCAAAACAAUGCAAACCAGUGAAACAACACAAGGCUGAACCAUAUAAUCCAUAAAAAACAACUAUAAUACUAUUUAAUUCCAUAUUGUAAUAUCGUCAUAAGUCUGCGUUUAAUAAAAGAUUUAAAUUUAUUUAUUGAUAAUUCAGAUACACUUUUUGGUGAUUUAUUGUAAAAUUUAAUACUAUCGCAUGCAAAAGAAUUGUUUAUUUUACUGAGCCUAGUACGGGGCACUAUAAGCUUGUAGUUAUUUGAUAUAUGUAUAUUCAUAUAUAUUCUCAUAAUUUUGAUAUAAUGCCUUUAUUUAUGUACAGUGUUUGUAUAUAUUAUUAUGCAUCUAUUUUACUCAAUACUAUUUACGGUUUAUUUUAAGUCAAUUUACAUUGUUUUGAUUUUUAACGUACAGACGUUUGUGUUAUUUAAAUAAUUUGUAAAAUGAUGAAGCAUUUAAUAUUGUAUUGUAACUCAUUAAUCUUCAACCUCUUCCGAAGAUGUGGGUAAAAUUUAUAACUUUUAACAUUGAUAAUGUUAGUCAGUUAUAUUUAAAAAUAUAUGCUGUACUGAAUAAAUAAUAAAAACAUUUAUUGGUUGUAGAAUAUGUAUCAAUCCACUCACAUUGUCAAUUGCGAAAAUUUUAUAGACGUCAAGUAUAUAUUAUAUCUAUUAUUAAUAGCAAAAACAGGGUUGUCGAUACAUGCAGGAUCGUACAGCCAGAUAUACUUGAAAAACUACCAAUCAAAUUUACGGUGGAUGUUCCCUUUGCGUGCUAAAGUUAUUUAAUUAUUUAUAACAAGGUCCCCAUUACAACACCCUCAGGUUAUAUCCAUCGUUAAAUUGUGUAUCUACGCGUUUCUAUAAAUUGAUUAAAAAUGUAAGUAGCAUAUCUACAAGAUUUCACAGUACGAGCUAAAUAUGUACCUAAGUGUGGAAUAAACUAUAUAGAACGGAU